AUGGCAUAUCGAAUGGUAUGCGCUCCCCAAGUCAUUGAUCUUGAGUCUGAGCGAGGGCAUCCUCAUGUUCAUUCUGAAAGUUUAAUUCACAAUGGGAAUGAUUUGUCCGACCAAGGCGGUCAAUAUACUGUCAGAGUUGUAGGCAAUGCUAUGAAUGCUGGUCUUUCUGAUACACAGGGUUACUACAAUAUGAACAUGAAUCAUCCACAUCAGCCUGUUCAUAGUUCUCCGCCAAAUUUAGGCGUUGAUUCAGGUUUUGUCUUCCCAUCAAAUAUGUACAACCCUUGCAUGUCAACAUCUAUGAACAGAUAUGCCUCUCAUGCUCAGAGCUUUGGAUUGCCUUUAAACCAAGUUGUCUCAGGAAGUAUGGAUGGAAGUACUAGAAAUGAAAAUGUCAGCGAAACUGCUAGAGGAUUCAUUAAAAGGAAAAAUGCCGCAGUUGCAGGAAGUUGUCAUUUUGUUAAUGGAUCUGCAAGCUCAAGCUCAUCCUCUCAUACAUCUCAAAAUCCUACACAUAGGCCAUGGGAUCCUUCUUUUGAGUCAAAUGUUUUUCCUAACGUCACACCAUUCAACCCAUCAGAAUAUCAUAGCCACAACACUUGGCCAUCUGUGGAAGGAUCUUCCAUUACUGGAUCAAAUGGGUUUAAUUUGAUGGCUGCUCACCCAGAAUCAGCACAGCAUGGUAACUAUACAUUUCAAUCAAGUCAUGCUAGUCAGUGCUUUCAACCUGCCAGCACUACUUGGGUUUCCCAGGCUGCAACUGGAAUUGUGGAAGGAGUACCACAGUGGUCAUACAUCAAUGCAAUGUCUAGUGUUCCAGCAGGCAGAUUUGCACAUUCAGGGGCCACAGAAAUAGUGAAUGGAGGCUUUCAUGAAUAUCAGAAUGGCCCUUCAACCAUUUCUCAAGGGCAUUUACCUUAUUUUCAUCAACAUGCUGUGCAUAGCAUGCAAGCUCAUAAUCCACUGGAUCAUACACGAGUGCAAGUCCCUUACCAACAAGGCCACAAUAAUGGCGUCUUACAUAGUGGGGUAAAUCAUUCUGGUAACCGGUUCCACUUGGGUCCAAGAACUCUAGGUCUCUUCUCUAAUUCUGAGCGGUCUUUUGGGCCCCCACAGCAUCCGUUCCUGGUGAACCCAGUUAAUCAUAGGAACAUAAGAAUUUUGCCACCUCUGCAGCAUGGUGCAAUCAUGGAUUUUUCGAGGUUGUAUGAGGGGUCAAAUGUAGUAGAUGAGCAUAGAGAUAUGCGUCUAGAUAUAGACAGCAUGACCUAUGAGGAGCUUUUAGCAUUAGAAGAGCACAUUGGAGACGUCAAUACAGGUCUGGCAAAAAGUCACAUCGUAGAUAAGUUGAAGACUAGCUUAUAUGUGCCAGGAGCAACCUGCGUGUCUAAUCAGUCAUCUGAACCUUCCACAGAGAAUGAGGCUUGCAUAAUAUGCCAGGAGGAGUACAAGGCUGAGGACUGCGUUGGAAUCCUGGAUUGUGGCCACAGAUACCACGCGGAGUGCUUAAAACAAUGGCUGACGGUAAAGAACCUAUGCCCCAUCUGCAAGACAACAGCUUUGUCUGCGGGUAGAAGAAGUGGAUAA
rnacentral:rRNA from 1 species